GGCCGGUUUGUUUGGUAUAAAGUAAUUUCAUUGUUGAAAGUAUUUUUUGUAGAAAAUAUUUUGGAAGAAAUUAAUUAAUUUAUGCAUGUUGGUUGUAAUACUAAUCAAGUCUUGUUCUAUGAAGGUGACAAUGAGAAUAUCUCCCCAAAAUAUGACAUCUUCAUAUUUUCCAUUUAGUUUUAAAUACCUUAAUAGGAGGAAAAUUUCUCUUAAAGAGUAAUUAUCAGUAGUUAGUGAACUUGUUCAUAAUUUUGUAUGUUCCUUUGUGACUUUGUUGUGUUGUGGGUUCUUAUUCCUUCUCAUCAUGAGAAUUG
rnacentral:misc_RNA from 1 species